UACAGGGGGUGCAAACGUUGCUCGGAAUCAUUGGGCGUAAAGCGCACGUAGGCGGUUCGUUAUGUCGGAUGUGAAAGCCCUUGGCUUAACCGAGGAAGUGCAUCCGAAACUGGCGAGCUAGAGUACUAAAGAGGAUCGCGGAAUUCCCGGUGUAGAGGUGAAAUUCGUAGAUAUCGGGAGGAACACCGGUGGCGAAGGCGGCCAACUGGACGAAUACUGACGCUGAGACUCGAAAGCGUGGGGAGCAAACAGG
rnacentral:rRNA from 1 species